rnacentral:rRNA from 1 species
ACUAUCGUUAACUGAAUACAUAGGUUAACGAGGCGAACCGGGGGAACUGAAACAUCUAAGUACCCCGAGGAAAAGAAAUCAACCGAGAUUCCCCCAGUAGCGGCGAGCGAACGGGGAGCAGCCCAGAGUCUGAAUCAGCUUGUGUGUUAGUGGAAGCGUCUGGAAAGUCGCACGGUACAGGGUGAAAGUCCCGUACACGAAAACACACAGGCUGUGAACUCGAAGAGUAGGGCGGGACACGUGGUAUCCUGUCUGAAUAUGGGGGGACCAUCCUCCAAGGCUAAAUACUCCUGACUGACCGAUAGUGAACCAGUACCGUGAGGGAAAGGCGAAAAGAACCCCGGCGAGGGGAGUGAAAAAGAACCUGAAACCGUGUACGUACAAGCAGUGGGAGCACCUUCGUGGUGUGACUGCGUACCUUUUGUAUAAUGGGUCAGCGACUUAUAUUCUGUAGCAAGGUUAACCGUAUAGGGGAGCCGAAGGGAAACCGAGUCUUAACUGGGCGUUAAGUUGCAGGGUAUAGACCCGAAACCCGGUGAUCUAGCCAUGGGCAGGUUGAAGGUUGGGUAACACUAACUGGAGGACCGAACCGACUAAUGUUGAAAAAUUAGCGGAUGACCUGUGGCUGGGGGUGAAAGGCCAAUCAAACCGGGAGAUAGCUGGUUCUCCCCGAAAGCUAUUUAGGUAGCGCCUCGUGAACUCAUCUUCGGGGGUAGAGCACUGUUUCGGCUAGGGGGCCAUCCCGGCUUACCAACCCGAUGCAAACUACGAAUACCGAAGAAUGUUAUCACGGGAGACACACGGCGGGUGCUAACGUCCGUCGUGAAGAGGGAAACAACCCAGACCGCCAGCUAAGGUCCCAAAGUCAUGGUUAAGUGGGAAACGAUGUGGGAAGGCCCAGACAGCCAGGAUGUUGGCUUAGAAGCAGCCAUCAUUUAAAGAAAGCGUAAUAGCUCACUGGUCGAGUCGGCCUGCGCGGAAGAUGUAACGGGGCUAAACCAUGCACCGAAGCUGCGGCAGCGACGCUUAUGCGUUGUUGGGUAGGGGAGCGUUCUGUAAGCCGUUGAAGGUGGCCUGUGAGGGUUGCUGGAGGUAUCAGAAGUGCGAAUGCUGACAUAAGUAACGAUAAAGCGGGUGAAAAGCCCGCUCGCCGGAAGACCAAGGGUUCCUGUCCAACGUUAAUCGGGGCAGGGUGAGUCGACCCCUAAGGCGAGGCCGAAAGGCGUAGUCGAUGGGAAACAGGUUAAUAUUCCUGUACUUGGUGUUACUGCGAAGGGGGGACGGAGAAGGCUAUGUUAGCCGGGCGACGGUUGUCCCGGUUUAAGCAUGUAGGCGGAGGUUCCAGGUAAAUCCGGUACCUUUUAACGCUGAGGUGUGAUGACGAGGCACUACGGUGCUGAAGUAACAAAUGCCCUGCUUCCAGGAAAAGCCUCUAAGCAUCAGGUAACACGAAAUCGUACCCCAAACCGACACAGGUGGUCAGGUAGAGAAUACCAAGGCGCUUGAGAGAACUCGGGUGAAGGAACUAGGCAAAAUGGUGCCGUAACUUCGGGAGAAGGCACGCUGAUAUGUAGGUGAAGCCCCUGCGGGUGGAGCUGAAAUCAGUCGAAGAUACCAGCUGGCUGCAACUGUUUAUUAAAAACACAGCACUGUGCAAACACGAAAGUGGACGUAUACGGUGUGACGCCUGCCCGGUGCCGGAAGGUUAAUUGAUGGGGUUAGCGGUAACGCGAAGCUCUUGAUCGAAGCCCCGGUAAACGGCGGCCGUAACUAUAACGGUCCUAAGGUAGCGAAAUUCCUUGUCGGGUAAGUUCCGACCUGCACGAAUGGCGUAAUGAUGGCCAGGCUGUCUCCACCCGAGACUCAGUGAAAUUGAACUCGCUGUGAAGAUGCAGUGUACCCGCGGCAAGACGGAAAGACCCCGUGAACCUUUACUAUAGCUUGACACUGAACACUGGUCCUUGAUGUGUAGGAUAGGUGGGAGGCUUUGAAGCGUGGACGCCAGUCUGCGUGGAGCCGNCCGGGUUGCGGACAGUGUCUGGUGGGUAGUUUGACUGGGGCGGUCUCCUCCCAAAGAGUAACGGAGGAGCACGAAGGUUAGCUAAUCCUGGUCGGACAUCAGGAGGUUAGUGCAAUGGCAUAAGCUAGCUUGACUGCGAGAGUGACGGCUCGAGCAGGUGCGAAAGCAGGUCAUAGUGAUCCGGUGGUUCUGAAUGGAAGGGCCAUCGCUCAACGGAUAAAAGGUACUCCGGGGAUAACAGGCUGAUACCGCCCAAGAGUUCAUAUCGACGGCGGUGUUUGGCACCUCGAUGUCGGCUCAUCACAUCCUGGGGCUGAAGUAGGUCCCAAGGGUAUGGCUGUUCGCCAUUUAAAGUGGUACGCGAGCUGGGUUUAGAACGUCGUGAGACAGUUCGGUCCCUAUCUGCCGUGGGCGCUGGAGAAUUGAGGGGGGCUGCUCCUAGUACGAGAGGACCGGAGUGGACGCAUCACUGGUGUUCGGGUUGUCAUGCCAAUGGCACUGCCCGGUAGCUAAAUGCGGAAGAGAUAAGUGCUGAAAGCAUCUAAGCACGAAACUUGCCCCGAGAUGAGUUCUCCCUGAGACUUAAAGUCUCCUGAAGGAACGUUGAAGACGACGACGUUGAUAGGUCGGGUGUGUAAGCGCAGCGAUGCGUUGAGCUAACCGAUACUAAUGAACCGUGAGGCUUAACC